CCAUUAUUACAACUGCAGCAGUGUCCAAAUAAACACACAAGUGUGCUAGUCAUCAAAAUUAAAGUAGAAACAGUAGGGAGUUCAUAGGAAAACAUGUAGUAAUUAACUUCAAACUUGAGGGUAUAUUUGAUUCAAUCUUCAUACAUCACUUGAGACCAGAAAAAUUUACCUGGAUUUAGAACGAAACGCAGGGAAUUGGAGGUCAGCUAGGAAGUGACAAACAAAAAAUAAGAUCAAUUUUAAAACCCAGGAAAUAAUAUCAAGCGACCUGGGAAUUAAUUGCAAAUGAACAGCACCAAUAAGCCACCAAAACCAUGGUCGAAGGAACCCAAUUAAACUAAAAAAUGACCCUAGGAACUUUUGAAAUCUCGACUACUAAAACACAAGGAAGAUCCAAACCAUUUGUAACUUUAGAUGAGCUGGAGAUUCAGCUUAUAACUUCAAAAUUUAAGAUCACUCUCAGAAAAUUCGGUGCGAUAGAGAUUUUAGUUGCCUCGAGCUUUGCAGAGCUUUUCAGUGUUUUAAAU
rnacentral:lncRNA from 1 species